GCCUGCUAAGACAUGCCCUCAGAAGGGUGAAAACCUGAGAGAGAGAAACGAGCAGUCGGAGGAGAUACACGAGAAUAGGAGGCAGACGCGAACACACACUCGCUGGGGAUACAGCGGUUUUUAUUGUUUACCUGGUCUUCUGCAAGACGCAGAAGAGGCAGCAAACAGGUCCAGGUGUGUGUAGAUGUGUGACAGCGGAGUGUGUGAGGAUAAGCCCCCCGCCCCCCCUGUCAGGAUGAGCAGCCAAGGAGGAGGAGUCAAGGACCCCCAGUCAGCCAAUCACAACUCUCGGCCACUGCCGUCUGUUCCAGAGGAAGUCCAGAGGAAGUCCAGGAACAAGAUCAUCUCCAUAUUCGUCUCCGAGAAAGGAGGCAGGAAGAAGGACAGAGACAAGGACAGGCCUGAGAUUUCUUCCCCGUCGGACUUUGAACACACCAUCCACGUGGGAUUCGAUGCCGUUACCGGAGAAUUCACCGGCAUGCCGGAUCAGUGGGCCCGUCUCCUCCAAACCUCCAACAUCAGUAAAUCAGAACAGAAGCAGAAUCCUCAGGCCGUCCUCGACAUUCUCAAGUUCUACGACUCCACCAGUGGAAAACAGAAAUACCUCACCGCCUCGGAUAAAGACUCACAAUCGCCAGGCAAGCAGGGUACCGCGACCUCCCCGUCGGGCAAAGACGGCGACGACGACGACGACGAUGACACCCCGCCCCCGGUCGUGGCACCUCGGCCAGAACACACGAAAUCCAUGUACACGAGGUCGGUGAUUGACCCGAUCCCAGCUCCGGAGGCGGACGCCGCCUCCAAGGCAGCUGACAGGCAGAAGCCGAAGGGCAAGAUGACCGAUGAGGAGAUCAUGGAAAAACUAAGAACUAUUGUCAGCGUCGGAGAUCCCAAGAAGAAAUACACGCGCUACGAAAAGAUCGGCCAGGGGGCGUCUGGCACAGUUUACACAGCCAUAGAUGUUGCCACAGGACAAGAGGUGGCCAUCAAACAGAUCAACUUGCAGAAGCAGCCGAAGAAAGAACUGAUUAUCAACGAGAUCUUGGUCAUGAAGGAGCUGAAGAACCCCAACAUCGUCAACUUUGUGGACAGUUUCCUCGUAGGAGAUGAGCUGUUCGUUGUGAUGGAGUACCUGGCUGGUGGCUCGCUGACUGACGUCGUGACGGAGACGUGCAUGGACGAGGCUCAGAUCGCUGCCGUCUGCAGAGAGGUCCUUCAGGCUCUGGAGUUUCUUCAUGCCAACCAGGUCAUCCACAGAGACAUCAAGAGUGACAACGUUCUCCUGGGGAUGGACGGAUCAGUCAAACUUACCGAUUUCGGCUUCUGCGCCCAGAUCACCCCAGAGCAGAGCAAACGCAGCACCAUGGUGGGGACUCCGUACUGGAUGGCUCCGGAGGUGGUGACGAGGAAAGCCUACGGACCCAAAGUGGACAUUUGGUCCCUGGGGAUUAUGGCCAUAGAGAUGGUGGAGGGAGAGCCUCCCUAUCUCAAUGAGAACCCUCUCAGGGCUUUGUAUUUAAUCGCCACCAAUGGGACUCCUGAGCUGCAGAGUCCGGAGAAGCUGUCUCCCAUCUUCCGGUCCUUCCUGUCCCGCUGUCUGGAGAUGGACGUGGAGAAGCGAGGGUCAGGCAGAGAACUGCUGCAGCAUCCAUUCCUGAAGCAGGCCAAGCCUCUGUCCAGCCUCACUCCUCUCAUCCUGGCAGCCAAGGAGGCCAUGAGGAGCAACCGCUAACUCCCCAGUUUAGAAAGACUGUGAGAUCAAAUUCCAGGGACGGCCAAAGCAGCCGGCGUCUCCUCCUGGUCUACGUAUAUAUAUGAUGACGACUAUCAGCAGCCUGCGAGUGUUUCCUCAAAAAGGUCAUAAGAUGCUGCUCCACUCUUCCCGGGGUUUCCAAAUCUUACCUCUUCAUCUCACCUUUGUGCUUUGUUAUGAAGCUGCCAUAAGCAUGGAUGUGUCGUUCAUGUUGACACUGGUAUUCUCAACGCCCAAAGUGUUAAUGUAUCUUCCUGAACAAAAUAAACGAAAUGAACAAACUCCCUAUAUUGAAUAGAACAAGUAGCGCGAUCCUAUUGAUUAAUUAGUGAAUUCACUCACUGUCUCUGCUCUGAUUGACACAUGAGCGCUUUGUUUCAGUCAAACUAAAUAUCAUUCAGGAGCUCAGACUGAUGAGAAGCUUUGAGCAGAUACAGCUCCCGUUCUUAGAUGUUUCUUCCAAUUUUCCAGUCAGCUUCCACUUUUAGGUUGUUCAUGAAUACACUUUAUGUCUCAGAUAAAGGUUUUGUAAUGAAUGAACGUUCCUGUUAGUCUUUAUUUUCCAGGAUACUCUCCAAAUGAUUUUCUUUUCAUGGUUGUGUUUGGUCACACAUGUGCUCUCUGACUGGGUCCAAUAGAUUGGAAAGAGUCACGGAAAACUGUAACCAGCCACGUCUGUGUCCUUGUUUCACUCCACAUCUCACUUAAAGCCAAAGGAGCGAUUCAGCAUUUUGUAUUUGUCUUCAUUUUAAUGAGUUUCAGUCGUCUGGUGCCAGUUGAGGGUGUUAACGGGCACCAGAACGUCGUCCUUAACCCAACUCUGACUUCACACACCUCAGCCUUCCAAUUCACUGUGCAGGCUCUUCUACAAAUUAUGCAAACCAUCCGUUUGCUUCAUGAAAAAAACAAAAAAACAAAAAAACACCUCACCGUGCCUAAAAGCCACAUUUUCUACAUUUUUUUGUGUUUGUCUACAGCUGUGCCUUCUGUAAUAGAUGCCUUACUGUCGGUAAAAACAACACAAAUACUGUAUGAAAUGAUCUGAACUGGAGGAAGACUUUGCAUUUGUUUUUAUAUUAUGUAAUGUCAUGUAUUUUUAACAGCUUUCAGUAUGUAUAUCAUUGUUUUAUACUUGUAACUAACUCAACAAAAAGACAAUUUAGACAUUUUUCAGCAUGUUUUUGUGAACCAACCAAUCAGUGUCAUUAUGAACUCCAAGCCAUUUAAUGUGUCGGGGGAAAAAAGAGAAAAAAAAAGCCUGAGACGCUCAGAUUUGAGUUGAGCAGUAUUUGGAAAUUGCUGUUAUCCUGCUUGGAGUACCAGAGGAGUUUGGUUUAGAGGUAAUUCCUUGGAAAUUUGAGACAAUCACUGAAAACCUUUAACAGACGCUCAGUGCAGGAAAACACACUCACAUGGUACUCAACAGGGUGACACAAAUCCUGAGUACACACUGUACAUCAAUACGUGGCUUUUGACCAGAGCACACAUUCCAGUUAGACGAGCGAUGUGUGAUCGAAGACCGCGAAGCGAGUGUGUCGCUGUUUGUCCUGAAUCCAAAAACUUCUGGCGUGAAAUAAAAUCCAUACAGUGUGUAAGUUAUUAAA